rnacentral:rRNA from 1 species
ACUCAAAUGAAUUGACGGGGACUCGCACAAGCAGUGGAUUAUGUGGCUCAAUUCGUAAGCAAACGAAGAACCUUACCAAGGUUAGACAUCCAGCUGCAUCCCAGCCGAAAGGCAGGGAGCCUUCGAGGGUGCUGGACAGGUGAUGCAUGGUCGUCGUCAGUUCGUGGUUUGAACUGUUCCCUUCAGUGGGGUAACGAACGCAACCCCCGUUGCCUGUUGCCUAUAUGGCCAGGCGAGACUGCUCCCUCACGGGAGAGGAAGGUGGGGAUGACGCCAGAUCAGCAUGUCCCUCUGAUACCUUGGGCCGCACACAUAAUACAAUGGCUGGUACAACGGGUAGCAAUGCCGUAAGGCGGAGCCAAUCCUUAUAAAACCAGCCCCAGUACGGAUUGAGGUCUGCAAUCGACCUCAUGAAGCCGGAAUUGCUAGUAAUGGCGGGUCAGCCAAACCGCCGUGAAUACGUUCUCGAGUCUUGUACACACCGCCCGU